rnacentral:rRNA from 1 species
UGCCUCAAAGAGGGGGACAACAGUUGGAAACGACUGCUAAUACCGCAUAAGCCCACGGCUCGGCAUCGAGCAGGGGGAAAAGGAGCAAUCCGCUUUGAGAUGGCCUCGCGUCCGAUUAGCUAGUUGGUGAGGUAAUGGCCCACCAAGGCGACGAUCGGUAGCCGGACUGAGAGGUUGAACGGCCACAUUGGGACUGAGACACGGCCCAGACUCCUACGGGAGGCAGCAGUGGGGAAUAUUGCACAAUGGGGGAAACCCUGAUGCAGCGACGCCGCGUGGAGGAAGAAGGUCUUCGGAUUGUAAACUCCUGUUGUUGAGGAAGAUAAUGACGGUACUCAACAAGGAAGUGACGGCUAACUACGUGCCAGCAGCCGCGGUAAAACGUAGGUCACAAGCGUUGUCCGGAAUUACUGGGUGUAAAGGGAGCGCAGGCGGGAGAACAAGUUGGAAGUGAAAUCCAUGGGCUCAACCCAUGAACUGCUUUCAAAACUGUUUUUCUUGAGUAGUGCAGAGGUAGGCGGAAUUCCCGGUGUAGCGGUGGAAUGCGUAGAUAUCGGGAGGAACACCAGUGGCGAAGGCGGCCUACUGGGCACCAACUGACGCUGAGGCUCGAAAGUGUGGGUAGCAAACAGGAUUAGAUACCCUGGUAGUCCACACCGUAAACGAUGAUUACUAGGUGUUGGAGGAUUGACCCC